GCUUAGGUAUUUUAAUAAAAAUAUUGGUUUGUGGGAUCAAUGAUAUGAAUUUUCAUCUUGGGCC
rnacentral:tRNA from 2 species